rnacentral:rRNA from 1 species
GUGUUGUUGGGUAGGGGAGCGUUCUGUAAGCCGUUGAAGGUGUGUCGUGAGGCAUGCUGGAGGUAUCAGAAGUGCGAAUGCUGACAUAAGUAACGAUAAUGCGGGUGAAAAACCCGCACGCCGGAAGACCAAGGGUUCCUGUCCAACGUUAAUCGGGGCAGGGUGAGUCGACCCCUAAGGCGAGGCCGAAAGGCGUAGUCGAUGGGAAACAGGUUAAUAUUCCUGUACUUGGUGUUACUGCGAAGGGGGGACGGAGAAGGCUAUGUUGGCCGGGCGACGGUUGUCCCGGUUUAAGCGUGUAGGUUUGCAGACCAGGUAAAUCCGGUCUGCUUUAAGACUGAGACGUGAUGACGAGGCACUACGGUGCUGAAGUAACAAAUGCCCUGCUUCCAGGAAAAGCCUCUAAGCAUCAGGUAACAUUGAAUCGUACCCCAAACCGACACAGGUGGUCAGGUAGAGAAUACCAAGGCGCUUGAGAGAACUCGGGUGAAGGAACUAGGCAAAAUGGUGCCGUAACUUCGGGAGAAGGCACGCUGAUAUGUAGGUGAAGCGGUUUACCCGUGGAGCUGAAAUCAGUCGAAGAUACCAGCUGGCUGCAACUGUUUAUUAAAAACACAGCACUGUGCAAACACGAAAGUGGACGUAUACGGUGUGACGCCUGCCCGGUGCCGGAAGGUUAAUUGAUGGGGUUAGCGGCAA